rnacentral:lncRNA from 10 species
UUGAGGAGCCCCAUUUUGCCCAGUGGUUGAGGUUAACAGCAUUCUCCUUCCUCCUCGUGCUCUGCUGAGCAAAACUCACGACCUGGCCAAAUGCCGUGCUCAGGUUCAGCCAGAAGCAGUGCCCCGGGUGACUGCAGACCCUCCAGAACUUGAGGAUCCCACCCUCUGACCCAACACCCACCCCUGAAACUGAUACUGUGUGCCUCACACAGAAGGCCAAGGCCCCCAGGACGACGAGACUGCCCUCCGAGCGGCCUGAGCCCAGAGACAGCAGCCUCCAUCGGACCCAAGGCCUCCGACCGCCCUGACGAACCUCAGCGGCAGCGCAGACGUCAGAGAGGUUUCUUUCGCAGGCAGCGAGGGGAAACUUGCAACGCAGAGAUCUGCGAAGGAGCCCGGGAAUCAGCCUUUCAAAGCAGCUUCUUGCACAGCAGGCAGGGCCAGCGCCGGGGAAACACUGCUUGGCCAGUUGCCCCUCCCUGGCCUUAGAAGUAUCCCUUGCAAAGGAGGGGACACAGUCUGAUACCAAGCCGCUUGACCUCCACUGUAACGGCCUCAAGUCUCCCCAUCGUCUGGGGGCUCUGCUGCUAAUUGGGUCGUAAAAGAUGAUCCUACUGCAUAGCUGUCUGCAAAGCGGGGCCCCCGUGACACAGGAUCAAUGAAAUGCAUAGCUGUCUGCAAAGCGGGGCCCCCGUGACACAGGAUCAAUGAAAUGCAGACCACAGGGUGGGCUUACCUGCUGACACUCUGGGCAGAGCCAGGACUGCAGAAGUCAGAGGGUGACUGGAUGCUCAGGAUGGGAGAGGCAAAGACUGGGGGAUGAAUCAUCCCUCCCUGGAGGCCUCCUCAUGCCUCUGACCCCCCAGGCUUCUGUUAAAGCGGCCAAAGCCCUCCUCACGCACUCCAGUCAGAACAUGGCCCCCUGGGGCUGCUUCGCAAAGGCCCACAGUCCCGCGAGACCCCGUCCAGAAAGAAGCCCCACGUCUGAGUGGCUCCACCUGGCAGUUCAUUCAUUCAUUCACUCAUUCGAGCAUCACUCGUUUACCGAGUACCUCUGACAAUUCUGGCACUGAGCUGCACCCUAGGAGUGCAUGAAUGGUGUGGCCAGGACCGUGGCUUUCCGUCUUGUCUGCUGUCACCUCCACAUUAAUAAAGCCCCGUGUUUAGUCGGGGGUGUGGCCACCCAGGCAUGAAACUGCACUUCCUGCCUCCCUUGCAGCUAGCUGUGGCCAUGUGAUUGCACCCUGGUUAACAAAACUAUGCAGGGUGUGGGGGGCCCUUCCUUCAAAAACAAACAAAAGAAACACAGUGGGCCCAAGCCCCUGGGUCCUUUCCUCUCAGUGGUCCUCUCUCCUGCUGGCUGGAAUGCAGAUGGGAGGGCUGAAGCUGAAGUGGCCAGUCUUGAGAAGGUGCCUGGGGACAGAGGACCCACAUGGUAGAGCAACAGACAAAGAAGCCACUUCUCUGGACGGCUGGAGGGAAACGCAUCUCUCCACCCUGGCCUGCCUUCCUCUAGACUUUAGUGUGAAAGAGAAAAACACAAAAUCUACCUUCUUUAAGCUACUGUGACUUAGGGUUUUCCAGCUGAGGAUAAUUGAAACCUACACAGCAGGUCAUGGUGCCACAUCCUGGUGCAGGGCUGUUGGCAGCACAGAAAGCCCACUGGCCUGGUCUCAGGGGAUUGGAGAGGCGUCCCGAGGGGUCUGUGUCUUGGCUGUGCCCUGUCAGGUGUGUUGGCCAAGGGAAGACGGGUAGGGAGGCAUUUCAGGGCUGGAGGUGGGAAGAAGUUCAGUGUGUUUGGAGAAGCUCUGGACUCUUCAGGGUGGUGGGGACCCCUGCUUUGCAUCUAUAAAAUACACCAGGCCUUAAAAUAUGUGACCUGUGAUUCAAAGGGAGAGGCUACUGGCUGGAGUGCAGUGGCGCCAUCUCUGCUCACUGCAACCUCUGCCUCCCAGGUUCAAGUGAUUCUCCUGCCUCAGCCUGCCCAGUAGCUGGGAUUGCAGGCACCUGCCACCACACCUGGCUAAUUUUUGUAUUUUUAGUAGAAAUGGGGUUUCACCAUGUUGGCCAGGCUGGUCUCGAACCCCCGACCUCAAGUAUCCACCAGCCUCGGCCUCCCAAAGUGCUGGGAUUAUAGACGUGAGCCACCAUGCCUGGCCUAGACUUCUGACUUUAAAGACUAGUAAAAACCUGAUUCUAUGCUCUUUGAAAAUCUGCACCUGCAGAAAUUCAUCACUGUCAUUUUGGCCUCGGAGAGACGCUUCUCAGCUGGGUUCAGGGCUGGAUGACUUGUCCUGUCUUCCUGCCCCGGUGGUUGACAUCCUCAGCCAGAUGUUAAGCCCCCUCCUCUCCUUAGGUUCAGACUCUCCCCUUUCAAAAUGCCAGCAAGUCCCAAAAGAACAGAUGAAGGCGAGGGGCCAGGACAAGACCAUCCCAUGGCGGGCUGGGUGUUGGGCUGGAUGGCUGCCCCCAUCCAGUGACAUAGGGCAAGGAAGUCCUGGCCAGAUGCCAAAGGAGCACCAGCAACUCCAAAUUCUUAUCCUGUGCGUGGCUCUGGGGAAUCAUUUUAUCAGAUCAGCCUUCAUACAAAUAAAUGAAUCCAUUGCCUCAGAGGGUCCCAUUGUUGUCAAACGGAAUCAGCAUGCCUCUGUUUUUAUUUCUGUGUAAAUAACAUCUGCUUCCAGAAUUACUAGAAUUUGUAGUAAUAAGUGCACACAUAAAGAGCUUAAAUUUCUACA